UUUUUUUUUUAAGACAGAGUUUCGCUCUUGUCACCCAGGCUGGAUUGCAGUGAGCCGAGAUCGUGGCACUGCACGAUGUGCCUGAGUGACAGAAUGAGAUUCCAUCUCAAAAAAAAAAAAAAGAGUACAUAAUACCUACUUUAGAGAUAGUCAUGGAAAUAUAAAGUAUGUGGCCCUUAUUAAUGCUACAUAAUGCUUUGCUUUCGUUUAUUUGCAUCUUACCCUCUUCCGUGAGUAUUGAUACUGUCUUACACAUAGUAGGGGUUGAGUAGAUAUUUGCUGGUUGCCCCUUCACUUGCAAGGGAUACAUACAAAUGUUGGUUUGUAUUGGAUAAUGAAUAUGAUGUUUUUAAGAGUAAUGUAUGAUUUUGUUACUUUUUGAAGGCCUUAGCAACAUUAACACUAGUAAAAGAAGUAGUAACAUUUA
rnacentral:sRNA from 1 species